rnacentral:rRNA from 1 species
GCUGGCGGCGUGCCUAACACAUGCAAGUCGAGCGAUCUUCUUCGGAAGAGAGCGGCGGACGGGUGAGUAACGCGUGGGUAACCUGCCCUGUACACACGGAUAACAUACCGAAAGGUAUGCUAAUACGGGAUAACAUAAGAAAGUCGCAUGGAUUUCUUAUCAAAGCUUUUGCGGUACAGGAUGGACCCGCGUCUGAUUAGCUAGUUGGUAAGGUAACGGCUUACCAAGGCGACGAUCAGUAGCCGACCUGAGAGGGUGAUCGGCCACAUUGGAACUGAGACACGGUCCAAACUCCUACGGGAGGCAGCAGUGGGGAAUAUUGCACAAUGGGCGAAAGCCUGAUGCAGCAACGCCGCGUGAGCGAUGAAGGCCUUCGGGUCGUAAAGCUCUGUCCUCAAGGAAGAUAAUGACGGUACUUGAGGAGGAAGCCCCGGCUAACUACGUGCCAGCAGCCGCGGUAAUACGUAGGGGGCUAGCGUUAUCCGGAAUUACUGGGCGUAAAGGGUGCGUAGGCGGUCUUUCAAGUCAGAAGUGAAAGGCUACGGCUCAACCGUAGUAAGCUUUUGAAACUGUAAGACUUGAGUGCAGGAGAGGAGAGUGGAAUUCCUAGUGUAGCGGUGAAAUGCGUAGAUAUUAGGAGGAACACCAGUUGCGAAGGCGGCUC